GGGUAACCUGCCCUAUGCUGGGGAAUAACCUCGGGAAACUGAGAAUAAUGCCCCAUAGCCCACUACGCCUGGAACAGUGAGUGGGUCAAAGCCCCGGCGGCAUAGGAUGGGCCUGCGCCGUAUCAGGUUGUAGGGGGUGUAAAGUACCCUCUAGCCAUCAACGCGUACGGGUGUUGGGAGACAUUGCCCGGAGAUGGAUUCUGAGACACGAAUCCAGACCCUACGGGGUGCAGCAGGCGCGGAAACUUGGCAAUGCGAGAAAUCGUGACCAGGGAACUCCAAGUGCGUAGGGUAAGACCUACGCUUUUCUUGACUCUUCAAAGGUCUUGGAAUAAGGGGUGGGUAAGGACGGUGCCAGCCGCCGCGGUAAUACCGGCGCCUCAAGUGGUAGUCGCUUUUAUUGGGCCUAAAACGUCCGUAGCCGGUUUGGUACAUUCGUGGGUAAAUCAACUCGCUCAACGAGUUGAAUUCUGCGAGGACGGCCAGACUUGGGACCGGGAGGGGUGUGGGGUACUCUCAGGGUAGGGGUAAAAUCCUGUCAUCCUGAGAGGACCACCUGUUGCGAAGGCGCCACACUAGAACGGAUCCGACGGUCAGGGACGAAGCCUAGGGGCACGAACCGGAUUAGAUACCCGGGUAGUCCUAGGUGUAAACGCUGUGGACUUGAUGUUGGAGAAGCUCCGAGCUUCUUCAGUGUC
rnacentral:rRNA from 1 species